UACAGAGGUCCCAAGCGUUGUUCGGAUUUACUGGGCGUAAAGGGCGGGUAGGCGGCCACCGCAAGUCAGUUGUGAAAUCUCUGGGCUUAACCCAGAAAGGUCAACUGAUACUGCGGGGCUAGAGUGCAGAAGGGGCAACUGGAAUUCUCGGUGUAGCGGUGAAAUGCGUAGAUAUCGAGAGGAACACCUGCGGCGAAGGCGGGUUGCUGGGCUGACACUGACGCUGAACUGCGAAAGCUAGGGGAGCGAACGGG
rnacentral:rRNA from 1 species